UUCCUCUCCGGGGAGGCCGGGGCGUGGAUUCGUGAUCUCUAUCGAGGAGGUUGCUGGCAUUGUAUCGCGGUGCUCCUCGCCCUUCGCGAGCCUGGCGUCGUCGUGCAAGCAUGGCAGCAGUCCCGAGGCGGGGAGCCAAAAGCUAAUCAGAAAUGACUUGGGAAUCCGGAACGGCCUUCUUGGCGUUGCAGGCUGAGGAAGAAAAGAUGUCCUGCCCUACCGAAGGCCUUGGGAGGAUCAUCCAAGUCCUAGUUUUAGGCUUUCUUUCGUAGUGGCGCUGUUAUGGGCUAUGAAGUCGGAACCAACUAAGGACGAGCCUGAUGGGCUUUUUUUCCCCAGUUCCUUUCAAGGAUGAUGAAGAUAAGACUGUGCUGCAUCUGUGAGUUGAAGAUGGCCUUCUCUGGGUGAUCCACAGGAUUCUGCUCAGAGCACAGAUAUGUCAGAAACAAAUAUCCUAUUGAAGUUGAAUAGGCUCACAGUGACACUGGCAAAGGAGCGGUGAUGCGGACUAGUGAGCUUCUGUUUUUCUGAAGGCGAUUCUUGAGGCAAGUGGACAGUGGCAGUGACCUCUUAGAUACACCUUUGAAUUUGCCAAGGAUACUGAAGAAGUGGAAUUACCAGCAAAGAAGCAGUUGUUACCAAAAUGAUUUAGUUUUUGUAAUUGUAUGGAAUAAAAACCUAAUGUAUUAAGAUUAAGCGUUAGUAUAUUUAAUGUCUUUAUGCACUAACUUUGGUGUGUUAGCAACAACAUUAUGACUUGCAUGUGUAAGAGGAAGAAAUGGGCACAAAGGAAGAUCUCAACUGAAAAUAAUGACAAAAAUGCACGGAGGGGGGAAGCUCAAAGAGAAAUGUAUGGUAACCUGAUCCUCAGGAUCUUUUCUUUAAUAAAGCUGCUUGGUAAUUACUGCACCAGUAA